UACGAAGGGGGCUAGCGUUGUUCGGAAUUACUGGGCGUAAAGCGUAUGUAGGCGGAUCGUUAAGUCGGGGGUGAAAUCCCGAGGCUCAACCUCGGAACUGCCUUCGAUACUGGCGAUCUUCGAGUCCGGGAGAGGUGAGUGGAACUGCGAGUGUAGAGGUGAAAUUCGUAGAUAUUCGCAAGAACACCAGUGGCGAAGGCGGCUCACUGGCCCGGUACUGACGCUGAGGUGCGAAAGCGUGGGGAGCAAACAGG
rnacentral:rRNA from 1 species